CACGGGGGUUGCGAGCGUUGUCCGGAAUUACUAGGUGUAAAGGGCAGGCAGGCGGAUCCAUAAGUUUAUCGUUUAAGGCGUCGGCUUAACCGGCGUAGGGCGGUAGAUACUGUGGAUCUGGAAUGCGGUUGGGGAAGACAGAAUUCCUGGUGUAGCGGUGGAAUGCGCAGAGAUCAGGAGGAAUACCGAAGGCGAAGGCAGUCUUCCAAGCCGUUAUUGACGCUCAACUGCGAAGGUGUGGGUAUCAAAGAGGAUUAGAUACCCGUGUAGUCCCUGA
rnacentral:rRNA from 1 species